rnacentral:rRNA from 1 species
AUGUAAUCUCUCUAGCCUGAUAUAAAGACAACCAUAAUACCUUUACCUAUAAAUUUAAAUAAUAAAACAUUCUAUAUUUUUAGUAUAUGCGAUAAAAAAAUUAAUCAGAGUAAUAACGAAAGUACCGCAAGGGAAAGAUGAAAUAAAAAUGAAAUAACUUCACACACUAAAAAGCAGAGAUAAAACCUCGUACCUUUUGCAUCAUGGCCUAACAAGUCUAACCAGGCAAAACGAAUUUUAGUCUGACUUCCCGAAACUAAGUGAGCUACUCCGGGGCUACUUCAUGUUUAACCCGUCUCUGUGGCAAAAGAGUGGGGAGACCCCCGAGUAGAGGCAAAAAACCUAUCGAACUUAGUAAUAGCUGGUUGCUUAGGAAAAGGAUAUAAGUUCUAUCUUAAAAAUUUUAAGCACUAUAAGCCUACCAAAUUUUUAAGAAUUAUUCAAUAAGGGUACAGCCUUAUUGAAAAAGGAAACAACCUAAAACUGCGGAUAAUAAUUAAUCUACUUAAGGAAAUAAAGGUUAAGUUGGCCUAAAAGCAGCCAUCUUUUAAAAAGCGUCAAAGCUUCACCUUUUUUGACCUCAAAUAAUACUAUUUUUUUAAAAUCCUAAAUUACUACUAAGCCAUUCUAUACUUUUAUAGAAAAGUUAAUGUUAGGACUAGUAACACAGAAUUAAUUCUCUUACAUGUAAGUCUAAAUCAACACGAAUAACUCCUUGAUAAUUACUCAGCCCUGAAAAGAAAGUAGCACCAUUAACACUACAAAAAUCCUACUUAAAUAACUGUUAAUCAAACAUAUGAACAUGAAAGAAAGAUAAAAUAAUUAGGAAGGAACUCGGCAAACAAAAGUCUCGCCUGUUUACCAAAAACAUCGCCUCUUGAACUUUAUAAGAGGUAACGCCUGCCCAGUGAUUUAAUAUUUAACGGCCGCGGUAUUCUGACCGUGCAAAGGUAGCGUAAUCAUUUGUCUUUUAAAUAAAGACUAGUAUGAAUGGCAUCACGAGGACUUAACUGUCUCCCUAAUUUAAUCAGUGAAACUGAUUUUCCUGUGAAAAAGCAGGGAUAACUUAAUAAGACGAGAAGACCCUAUGGAGCUUAAAAUCUAUAUCUACCUAUAUUUUCUGUUAAUAAAAUACCACUAAUUUAUAAACUAGAUAAAGUUUUUGGUUGGGGCGACAAUGGAGAACAACUCAUCCUCCAUGAAGAAAAACUUUGAGUUACCACUCUUAGUAGUAGCAAGCCUAACUUAAAUUGAUCCAAAUUUUUUUUGAUCAACGGAACAAGUUACCCUAGGGAUAACAGCGCAAUCCAUUUCAAGAGUUCAUAUCGACAAAUGGGUUUACGACCUCGAUGUUGGAUUAGGACAUCCUAGUGGUGCAGCCGCUACUAAG